rnacentral:rRNA from 2 species
GUAACUGCGAGUGAAGCGGGAAAAGCUCAAAUUUAAAAUCUGGCGGCCUUCGGCCGCCCGAGAUGUAUAACUAGAGAAGUGUUACCCGCGUUGGACCGUGUACAAGUCUCCUGGAAUGGAGCGUCACAGAGGGUGAGAAUCCCGUCUUUGACACGGACUACCAGGGCUCUGUGGUAUGCUCUCAAAGAGUCGAGUUGUUUGGGAAUGCAGCUCAAAAUGGGUGGUAAAUUCCAUCUAAAGCUAAAUAUUGGCGAGAGACCGAUAGCGAACAAGUACCGUGAGGGAAAGAUGAAAAGCACUUUGGAAAGAGAGUUAAACAGUACGUGAAAUUGCUGAAAGGGAAACGCUUGAAGUCAGUCACGUUGGCCGGGGAUCAGCCUUGCUUUUGCUUGGUGUACUUUCUGGUUGACGGGUCAGCAUCAAUUUUGACCGCUGGAAAAAGGCUUGGGGAAUGUAGCAGCUUCGGCUGUGUUAUAGCCCCUGGUCACAUACAGCGGUUGGGAUUGAGGAACUCAGCACGCCGCAAGGCCGGGUUUCGACCACGUUCGUGCUUAGGAUGCUGGCAUAAUGGCUUUAAGCGACCCGUCUUGAAACACGGACCAAGGAGUCUAACAUGCCUGCGAGUGUUUGGGUGCAAAACCCGAGCGCAUAAUGAAAGUAAAAGUUGAGAUCCCUGUCGUGGGGAGCAUCGACGCCCGGACCAGAACUUUUGGGACGGAUCCGCGGUAGAGCAUGUAUGUUGGGACCCGAAAGAUGGUGAACUAUGCCUGAAUAGGGUGAAGCCAGAGGAAACUCUGGUGGAGGCUCGUAGCGAUUCUGACGUGCAAAUCGAUCGUCAAAUUU